rnacentral:rRNA from 1 species
UGGGGAAUAUUGGACAAUGGGCGAAAGCCUGAUCCAGCAAUGCCGCGUGAGUGAUGAAGGCCUUAGGGUUGUAAAGCUCUUUUACCCGGGAUGAUAAUGACAGUACCGGGAGAAUAAGCUCCGGCUAACUCCGUGCCAAGCAGCCGCGGUAAUACGGAGGGAGCUAGCGUUAUUACGGAAUUACUGGGCGUAAAGCGCACGUAGGCGGCUUUGUAAGUUAGAGGUGAAAGCCUGGAGCUCAACUCCAGAAUUGCCUUUAAGACUGCAUCGCUUGAAUCCAGGAGAGGUGAGUGGAAUUCCGAGUGUAGAGGUGAAAUUCGUAGAUAUUCGGAAGAACACCAGUGGCGAAGGCGGCUCACUGGACUGGUAUUGACGCUGAGGUGCGAAAGCGUGGGGAGCGAAACAGGAUUAGAUACCCUGGUAGUCCACGCCGUAAACGAUGAUAACUAGCUGUCGGGGGCUCCUUAGAGCUUCGGUGGCGCAGCUAACG